GGUCGAAUGGUGGAAUGGCAGACACGCGAGUUUAAGGGACUCGUGCCUUCGGGCGUGGGGGUUCAAGUCCCCCUUCGACCACCA
rnacentral:tRNA from 1 species